rnacentral:pre_miRNA from 1 species
AUAACAACAUUCGGACCGUCGGUCUACCGAGCAAUAUCACCCGCUCGGUGGAAGAUCUUCUCUUUGUCGUAAUA